rnacentral:rRNA from 1 species
AUUGAACGCUGGCGGAAUGCUUUACACAUGCAAGUCGAACGGCAGCAUAGGUGCUUGCACCUGAUGGCGAGUGGCGAACGGGUGGGUAAUACAUCGGAACGUGCCCAGUCGUGGGGGAUAACGUAGCGAAAGUUACGCUAAUACCGCAUACGAUCUAAGGAUGAAAGCGGGGGACCGUAAGGCCUCGCGCGAUUGGAGCGGCCGAUGUCAGAUUAGGUAGUUGGUGAGGUAAAGGCUCACCAAGCCGACGAUCUGUAGCUGGUCUGAGAGGGCGACCAGCCACACUGGGACUGAGACACGGCCCAGACUCCUACGGGAGGCAGCAGUGGGGAAUUUUGGACAAUGGACGCAAGUCUGAUCCAGCCAUUCCGCGUGCAGGACGAAGGCCUUCGGGUUGUAAACUGCUUUUGUACGGAACGAAAAAGCUCUUACUAAUACUAGGAGUCCAUGACGGUACCGUAAGAAUAAGCACCGGCUAACUACGUGCCAGCCGCCGCCGUAA